rnacentral:miRNA from 1 species
UUGUUUGGCCAAAAAGUUCGUUUGGGUUUUUCUGUAACGUCAUACAGAAAAACAUGAACUUCAUGGCCAACCCA